ACACCUUCUACCUUUAGCUUGGUCGGUGCACAGAAACGCACGUUUCGUGAGAAUCCUCCAGUCCAAAAUGGAGAGAAAGAGAAAAGGGGGUGCAGAGAAACUGCGAGACAAGAAGAGGCUUGCUCUUCAAGCCAAUGCUGCCAAAUGUGGCAAAAUAUCAGAAAUGUUUGCCACGGCAGGGCCAUCCUCAGCUCCCGUGGAUGACAGUGAUGCUGGUGGCGAUACGAUACAACGACCUACGGUACACACCCAGUCGGAUGAACUCUACCCAUUACUGUGAUGGACGUGGAGUAUACUUUUUUUGUUAAUAAAUAACACCUUUUGGAAGUGUAUAA